rnacentral:misc_RNA from 1 species
GAUGAAGAACGUAGCGAAAUGCGAUAAGUAGUGUGAAUUGCAGAAUUCAGUGAAUCAUCGAAUCUUUGAACGCACAUUGCGCCCCUUGGUAUUCCAUGGGGCAUGCCUGUUCGAGCGUCAUUACAACCCUCAGGCCCCCGGGCCUGGCGUUGGGGAUCGGCGGAGCCCCCCGUGGGCACACGCCGUCCCCCAAAUGCAGUGGCGGUCCCGCCGCAGCUUCCAUCGCGUAGUAGCUAACACCUCGCGACUGGAGAGCGGCGCGGCCACGCCGUAAAACACCCAACUCUUCUGAAGUUGACCUCGAAUCAGGUAGGAAUACCCGCUGAACUUAAGCAUAUCAAUAAGCGGAGGA